CCUAGCCUUGGAGUGGGGAAUAACAGCUGGAAACAGCUGCUAAUACCGCAUGAAGCAGUUGAGUCGCAUGGCUCUGACUGCCAAAGAUUUAUCGCUCUGAGAUGGACUCGCGUCUGAUUAGCUAGUUGGCGGGGCAAUGGCCCACCAAGGCGACGAUCAGUAGCCGGACUGAGAGGUUGGCCGGCCACAUUGGGACUGAGACACGGCCCAGACUCCUACGGAAGGCAGCAG
rnacentral:rRNA from 1 species